rnacentral:rRNA from 1 species
AUGUGGAGGAAUCCGGAAUACUUCACCCCGAACCCGUCCCUGCAUCAACAAGGGGAGCAAGAGGACCUGAGCAUCGACGAGGACUUGUUCCAGCCGUGGAGCCCCUGGUGCAUAGAUCGGGGGGCGCAGGCGAGGGCGUGGAGGAGGACGACGGCGACGACGGCGGCGGCGGCGAGGAGCAGCGCGACUACCACCAGAUCGGCGAAGGGGCAAGAAGACAUAUACGAGUGGUGGGGCGUCUUCUUCUUCUUCCCCGACGGCGGUCGUCGCCUCCGGCCGGCCUCCCUGAGCUCGCUAAAACCCCGACCCAAAGCGGCGAGAGGAGCAAAAGGGGUUGGGAUGGUCUCCUCCUCCGAUAUUUAA